rnacentral:rRNA from 1 species
UACGUAGGUGGCAAGCGUUGUCCGGAUUUAUUGGGCGUAAAGAGCUCGUAGGCGGUCUGUCGCGUCGGCUGUGAAAACUCGGGGCUCAACCCCGAGCCUGCAGUCGAUACGGGCAGACUAGAGUGCGGUAGGGGAGACUGGAAUUCCUGGUGUAGCGGUGAAAUGCGCAGAUAUCAGGAGGAACACCGGUGGCGAAGGCGGGUCUCUGGGCCGUAACUGACGCUGAGGAGCGAAAGCGUGGGGAGCAAACAGG